CCGUGCUAAGUGGGGAGGUAGCGGUGCCCUGUACUCGCAAUCCGCUAUAGCGAGGCUGAAUCCCUUCUCGAGGCUAUGCUUUUGUGCAGCCUGCCCUAUGUAAGUGGUGUUGACAACCGGGUUCUGCGCAAUGGAAACCCGUGAAUCCUGUCAGGUCCGGAAGGAAGCAGCAGUAAGCGGACUCUUCUAUGUGCCGCAGAGCUGCCCGGUUCGAGCUAACUGCAUAGGUAACGUGCAUGAAAGCAUUGUCGACAGAAGGUGCACGG
rnacentral:SRP_RNA from 1 species